GAGCUCUGUGGGCCCCAGGAGCCCCGGGAAAACCUGGGGGAGAAUGGGCAUCCCACCCCAGCACUUUCUAGGAAGAAGGGCAACAUUUUGAAGGGCUGGAAGUAGAGAAAGAAGGUUGCGGGUAGAAGACUCCAUACUUUCUGUGACGCCUAUUCCUUAGCCAGAGGCGUGGCUUGCCUGGGCCUCUGGGUGCAGCUGCACAGACUCAAGCAGCCUGAAGGAAAGGUGACUGACAGUUAAUGAUCUGAAAAGAACUUGUCUCAACUCAACGUCAUUCCUGGCAUUAUCGAACAAAGCAAUAAACCUCACAGAAUGGAAGCUACAGUGUCCAGGGCCAGCUCUGCUAAGGUAACCAAAGACAGAGAAGGAGGCAAAAGUGACAGAAGAAACUCAUGGGAAACCAACAGAAAUAUAAUGGCUUUGGCAGAAAUGCAAUUAUCAAUUGGGAGGAGAGCUUUUAUAUAACCAAAGAUAUUUUUGGACCAUGAAUUCGGAAAUUCUCGGAGCCACCCAUCAAUGCCUGAGCUUCAGUGAGUCCAUAUCCCAUGUCACCUACGGCAAAGGAGAAUCUGAGACUUCUGAAGAGUUUCUUGCUUCUUUCCUGUGGGGCAGUGACUCCACUUCCCAGCAGUAAUGGAAUAUCCUGAAUUAGCUACAUUAAUGUUAGAACCAUUUGGACCUCACCCAGGACUUCAACUACAUUGUGCUAAAGUUACAGAAUCCAAAUUUGGCAACUGCCUGCAUCU
rnacentral:antisense_RNA from 1 species